rnacentral:rRNA from 1 species
GACCUCGGAUCAGACGUGAUUACCCGCUGAACUUAAGCAUAUCACUAAGCGGAGGAAAAGAAACUAACAAGGAUUCCCUUAGUAACGGCGAGUGAACAGGGAUGAGCCCAGCACCGAAGCCUGUGGCCAUUUGGUUACUAGGCAAUGUGGUGUUUAGGUUAUUCCGCAGAGACACUGCUCCUCUCUAAGUCCAUCAAUGAGUACGGUUGUACUGACAUGGCCCAUGGAGGGUGAAAGGCCCGUAAGAGAGGAGGUUUGGUAUGACAGUGUCUCUCUGGAUUGACCUUGGAGUCGGGUUGUUUGGGAAUGCAGCCCUAAGCGGGUGGUAAACUCCAUCCAAGGCUAAAUACAAGCACGAGUCCGAUAGCGAACAAGUACCGUGAGGGAAAGUUGAAAAGUACUUUGAAGAGAGAGUAAACAGUGCGUGAAACCGCUUAGAGGUAAACGGGUGGAGUUGAACUGUAAUCUCUGAGAAUUCAGCUGGGGAAUUUUGCUUGAGCUUGGUCAAAUUGGGCAGGGCCCUGAGGUAUGCUUAUGUGCAUGUUCUGACCUUCGGGUUGGGAUGCGCGUUGCUCUUAUCAAGGGCUGCGCGCCUCGGGUGUCCGGCUGGCUCUGUCGCCAGUGCACUUUCUCAGAGUGAUCAUCACGACCGGCGCUGCUGCUUGUCUGUUUUAGUCAAAUCGAACGUUCUUCGUCCUUGUGGCGUUGGGCGGUCGACACGGCAGGUAACUGGGGGCCAGCUUCGGCUCGCUUCUCGGUGUAUGUCGGCUUUAACGGGAAUAUGCGGUGUGUCGGAGACGGCGGCUAGUAGUGUGUGCGUGCGUAUCUAUCUGUUGGCAUAUUCUGGUUUGGUAGCUGUGUGCUUGUUCAAGCAGGCCCAGUUAUGGCCGGGGUGUGUCGGUGGGUGGGUGCGUGUGUGGCACUUUUCUGGGCCAACAGUCUGUGAUGUUGUGGUAGACUAUCCACCUGACCCGUCUUGAAACACGGACCAAGGAGAGUAACAUGUGCGCGAGUCAUUGGGCGUAACGAAACCCACAGGCGUAGUGAAAGUAAAGGGCUGGCUUGUCCAGUCUAAGGUGAGAUCCUGUCGUUGUUCAUGCGUGGUACCACCAAGCUUGGAGCGAUGGGCGCAUCACCGGCCCGUCCCAUGACGUGGUCACAGUCUUCGGAUUGUGCGCCGUGGGGGCGGAGCAUGAGCGUACAUGUUGAGACCCGAAAGAUGGUGAACUAUGCUUGCGCAGGUUGAAGCCAGAGGAAACUCUGGUGGAGGACCGCAGCGAUUCUGACGUGCAAAUCGAUCGUCAAACGUGAGUAUAGGGGCGAAAGACUAAUCGAACCAUCUAGUAGCUGGUUCCCUCCGAAGUUUCCCUCAGGAUAGCA